GUAGGUGAACCUGCGGAAGGAUCAUUAUAGUGUUCGCUGCCCUCGCGGGUAGCAAGCCUCACCCGUGUAUAUUAUAUCUUUGUUGCUUUGGCAUGCUGCCUUCGGGCACUGGCUCCGGCUAGCUCGUGUGUGUCAGAGGCCUUAAAACUCUGAAUGUUAGUGUCGUCUGAGUACUAUUUAAUAGUUAAAACUUUCAACAACGGAUCUCUUGGCUCUGGCAUCGAUGAAGAACGCAGCAUCUGACUGACUG
rnacentral:misc_RNA from 1 species